CUUCUAUUCGCUAUUGGAAUUAUAACGGCAAUAUGUAUUGUGGUCAAACGGAAGGCAAGGAACGCCAACAAACAAAUCGACAGGCAGGAUAAUCGAUCUGAUCGACAACGUGAGACGAUGUUUUGGAGAUCGCCAUUCAUGAAAGACAGCAUUGGAAGUGAACCAGACGCUCAUCGGUAUAGAACAUGGCGAUCCAUAGCUCUUGGAUUUAGCCAGAAGUCCGCUAGGAUUCCGAGAUUGGUUUCUAACGCUCUGCAAGAUACUACUGAAUCGGACGAAAAAGAACAAAGGCCGAGAAGAAAGCACAAAUAAGAAUACUUAUUUUACUACCGAUUUCCUGUGUAUUAUAUUUCCAUCGCAUCUUCGAGUACAAAUAACGCAAACCAUAUACACUUAAUUUUGUUUUAUAUACAUUAUUUAUUAUUUUUUACACUUUUGUAUACAUUGACUAUGUUAUUUAUGUAUUGUGCC